rnacentral:rRNA from 1 species
GACGAACGCUGGCGGCGUGCUUAACACAUGCAAGUCGAACGGAAAGGCCCUGCUUUUGUGGGGUGCUCGAGUGGCGAACGGGUGAGUAACACGUGAGUAACCUGCCCUUGACUUUGGGAUAACUUCAGGAAAAUGGGGCUAAUACCGGAUAGGAGCUCCUGCUGCAUGGUGGGGGGUGGAAAGUUUCGGCGGUUGGGGAUGGACUCGCGGCUUAUCAGCUUGUUGGUGGGGUAGUGGCUUACCAAGGCUUUGACGGGUAGCCGGCCUGAGAGGGUGACCGGCCACAUUGGGACUGAGAUACGGCCCAGACUCCUACGGGAGGCAGCAGUGGGGAAUAUUGCACAAUGGGCGGAAGCCUGAUGCAGCAACGCCGCGUGCGGGAUGACGGCCUUCGGGUUGUAAACCGCUUUCGCCUGUGACGAAGCGUGAGUGACGGUAAUGGGUAAAGAAGCACCGGCUAACUACGUG